GUUGUUUGGUUCCCCCAAAGGAGGACAUGUCUAUACCAUCGGGAUAUCUCUGAAAUAAUGCAUCAGGAAUCCUGUAGAAGGAAGCCAAUUUGAAAGAAGACAAAUUUGGAUGUUAUUGAAAUAAUGGAAGAAAAAUACUGAUCUAAUGGGUGAAGAGGAGGCCUUGGAUCCAGGAACAUUUGCAAAAAGUUCCAUUUUAUUGCUCUUCUGUUGUCAUGGUUUCUGCCGUCUGGAUUAUCACCCUAUGAUCUCAAUACUUCAUACUUCUUGAAAACCUCUGAAACCAGAAGAUGAACAGCAAGGACUCACAAGGCCAACAUCUCCAGUGUUGAGUCAACAAAGGAAACUGCUGUUUUCCAGAUGGAGUACCCAAUCUAUUCCCAAGCCAUACUUCUCACAAAUGGU